rnacentral:rRNA from 1 species
UACAGGGGGUGCAAACGUUGCUCGGAAUCAUUGGGCGUAAAGCGCACGUAGGCGGUUCGUUAUGUCGGAUGUGAAAGCCCUUGGCUUAACCGAGGAAGUGCAUCCGAAACUGGCGAGCUAGAGUACUAAAGAGGAUCGCGGAAUUCCCGGUGUAGAGGUGAAAUUCGUAGAUAUCAGGAGGAACACCGGUGGCGAAGGCGGGUCUCUGGGCCGGAACUGACGCUGAGGAGCGAAAGCGUGGGGAGCGAACAGG